rnacentral:rRNA from 1 species
CCUAACACAUGCAAGUCGAGCGCGCCCUUCGGGGUGAGCGGCGGACGGGUUAGUAACGCGUGGGAAUAUACCCGACACUAAGGAAUAGCCUCUGGAAACGGAGAGUAAUACCUUAUACGCCCUUCGGGGGAAAGAUUUAUCGGUGACGGAUUAGCCCGCGUUAGAUUAGAUAGUUGGUGGGGUAAUGGCCUACCAAGUCUACGAUCUAUAGCUGGUUUUAGAGGAUGAUCAGCAACACUGGGACUGAGACACGGCCCAGACUCCUACGGGAGGCAGCAGUGGGGAAUCUUGGACAAUGGGCGCAAGCCUGAUCCAGCCAUGCCGCGUGAGUGAUGAAGGCCUUAGGGUCGUAAAGCUCUUUCGCCAGAGAUGAUAAUGACAGUAUCUGGUAAAGAAGCCCCGGCUAACUCCGUGCCAGCAGCCGCGGUAAUACGGAGGGGGUUAGCGUUGUUCGGAAUUACUGGGCGUAAAGCGCGCGUAGGCGGAUUAGUAAGUUAGAGGUGAAAUCCCGGGGCUCAACCCCGGAACUGCCUUUAAUACUGCUAGUCUUGAGUUCGAGAGAGGUGAGUGGAAUUCCGAGUGUAGAGGUGAAAUUCGUAGAUAUUCGGAGGAACACCAGUGGCGAAGGCGGCUCACUGGCUCGAUACUGACGCUGAGGUGCGAAAGUGUGGGGAGCAAACAGGAUUAGAUACCCUGGUAGUC